UCGGGAAUUUUGGGCAAUGGGCGAAAGCCUGACCCAGCAACGCCGCGUGAGGGAUGAAGUAUUUCGGUAUGUAAACCUCGAAAGAAUGGGAAGAAUAAAUGACGGUACCAUUUAUAAGCUCCGGCUAACUACGUGCCAGCAGCCGCGGUAAUACGUAGGGAGCAAGCGUUGUUCGGAUUUACUGGGUGUAAAGGGCGCGCAGGCGGGAUAAAAAGUCAGUGGUGAAAUCCUACAGCUUAACUGUAGAACUGCCUUUGAUACUUUUAUUCUUGAGUUCGGGAGAGAGAGACGGAAUUCCAGGUGUAGUGGUGAAAUACGUAGAUAUCUGGAAGAACACCAGUUGCGAAGGCGGUCUCUUGGUCCGACACCGACGCUGAGGCGCGAAAGCGUGGGGAGCAAACA
rnacentral:rRNA from 1 species